AUUGAACGCUGGCGGCAGGCCUAACACAUGCAAGUCGAACGAGUGGCGGACGGGUGAGUAAUGUCUGGGAAACUGCCUGAUGGAGGGGGAUAACUACUGGACACGGUAGCUAAUACCGCAUACCAUCGGAUGUGCCCCGAUGGGAUUAGCUAGUAGGUGGGGUAAAGGCUCACCUCGUCGACGAUCCAUAGCUGGUCUGAGAGGAUGACCAUCAACACUGGAACUGAGACACGGUCCAGGGUCCUAGGGGAGGCAGCAGUGGGGAAUAUUUCACAAUGGGGGCAAGCCUGAUGCAGCCAUGCAGCGUGUAUGAAGAAGGCCUUCGGGUUGUAAAGUACUUUGAGCGGGGAGGCGUUACCCGCAGAAGAAGCACCGGCUAACUCCGUACCAGCAGCCGCGGUAAUAC
rnacentral:rRNA from 1 species